UAACCAUUAGCGGGUGACGUCACUCCACAUGGGGCAACCCCCCCCUCAUUAAUAAUCAUGAGCUGAACAAUUUUUCUAUUGAAUAUUUCAGAUUUACUGCAAUAUACACCCGUCCUUGGCCGGGCAAAAAAGCUAGUAUAAAUAUGUUAAUGUAAAACAGUUGAACAAGUAUUGAAUAAUGGGAUAGUUUGUAAUUGACAAGAAUUAUUUCAUAAAUUAAAAUAAAUGACAUUUUUACCAAAAACUCUUCAUAAAUAGUUCAUAUUUUAACUGGUAAUGUAUUUACAUUUCUCAUAAAAUUCAGAGUUUUUCUCCAAAUAUCGAUUUAACCCAAAUGAAAAUACUACGAAUACCAUUUAAAUGGAUGUGCUUCUUUAUGGGAACACCUGGGCAAGCUGGGACUUGCAAUAUCAAUUAAAAUUAUUAUAGAUGAAAUAUAUUCCCAAUUAGAGGUAUCAACUUGGCAGUGCAUAAAUAGUCCAAUUAAACCACAAAUGAAUUAGGUCUCUUUGGACAUCGCACGCAGCGUGUGCCAUGUGCAUCAAGCCAGAAACCACAAUUACUACAAACGCCCCUGAGCAUUAUUCAUGUUAAACUAUAUACAGGAAUGAGCUACAAAUUGGUUUGUGAUGAUGAUAAUGAUUUGGUAAAAAUUUUUAGCAGUUCCCAUUAUUUCUCAUGCACAAGCUAAAAAAAACCACUUAGAUUGUGUUCUCUAUGCAGUGGGAAGGCAUAUAUGUACCUGCAACCUGUUGAACACAUUUUGUUGAAAUUAUUUGCCAUCCAGACUGUUGUCCAGACGUUAUAAGGGCUGUAUAUCAAUGUGGUGCUGUUGUGCGUGUCUGCUUGUCUCUUUUACCGUCUGUGGGAGCCCGACAUCCCUUUAUCCACACUCAGUACAAUGCGCAAUCAGCCUAUGCAUACUAAGCAGGGCCUAUUUAUUAUGCAAAAGACCCUCUGUUUAAAGUUCAGUAAACUUUUAUGGGCACAUUUAAAGUUACUUUUCCCACAGCACAGUGGAACUUUCUUAAGUGCGAUCCGAGCGAGCAACGAAUGACAACUCGAACAAAGCUGCAAUAUGAGGAUUGGGCACACCUCGAAAUGUAAACUAAUUUAAUUAAGCACAUUGACGGAGAAAAACUUUUCAAAUGCUUAUAUGGCAUCGCGCCCAUUGCAUUUCGCUUGGCCGUUUUCGGCCACAAAAUAGACGACCUGCCUUUCUUUCGCGGCGAGCUUGGAUGUACCGUUUUCCCCGAUACGAAAUAAAUAGCCGCGCUUGAAGCCAUGCAAACAUUCCAUUACAGCCCGUUGCAUAAUUAGCGACCGAUUUCGUUCGUUUGACGUCCCGAGUUCGGAGACAACGUUGCAAACAAUUUAGCGUAUAAAAAAAUUCAUUGAUUAUUUGCAACAAAAAAAAAGAAAUAUGAGAAUGACGUCAGAGUCGGUCACGAGGCCGAAAAGCGGGCGUGCGUGUGCGCGUGCGUAUGCAUGUGCGUUCCAUGUAUAUGUGAGACUCUAUCACUGCAGCCUGCUCUUUUAAAAAACUCACUGCCAAGGAUUCUCUCGUUGCCUGCCGCCGCGAAUGCGCUCCGUACCCUCUGGGAACAUCGGCCAACGUGCUCCUGCUCACGGCGCCUGGGAGAACAAUUAGCUUGCUUGUUAAUUAGCAGUCAGUGCAGCAGGCCGGGAGCAGAGGGGGCACACGCUGGCACCGUGCCAUCCGAAACGGCGAGAGGGAGGGCGACGACAGAAAGAAGCAGGAAUGGCUUGGGGCGUCUCUUUCUUUUUCGCUCGGCUCGCCUUGGAUUCUUGCGCGCCGGGGCCAGGAACAGCUGUCACUGGCUCGCCGCCGAGUGUCACAGCGCCCGCCCGCUUGCUUUGGCGAAAUCGCUACACUGUAGGAAAGCGCCACGUACGCGGGCACGCGAGACCGCCGUUGCCGGCCCGCGCUGUGAAAAACGCAGCCUUCCCGCGCCCGCUUCCGAGUUGCUUCGUUUGCGUAACGAACCUUGUUUAGAGCGUCGCGCCGUUUUGCUUUUUUUGUUUUGCGCCCGCCAGGUGGAGGCGCGUAAAGCGGCUGGCAGUGCCAUUUGGCGCUCCGGGAUAGAGCGGAGGGAGGGGGGCAAACGAUAAAGAAAAAAACCCCCGUUGGCACCGAUCCUGCCCCCCCGAGCGAAUCUGGAUUUGCGAUGCCCGCAGCCUUCUGCCCGGUUCGCCGCUGCCCACUGUAUUGCCGCCACCCCCAACCCCCCCCCUCGCCCCUUACCCCUCCCAGGACUGGCGACACGGACAACAGCCUGGCAUCGUUCUCGCCCGCCGUCUUUGUCUGGUGCCGGGGACGCCCCGACAAAGACACGGGGGCAUGCCAAGCGACGGCGGUGACGGUGACGGCGGUGGCGGCGGCGGCGGCAGCGGCGAGCGCCAUUGCGAUCGCGCUUUCGGAUACCAGUCACGAUCGCUCCGCGUAGGUACAAUGUUCGGCGGUUGGGCACGAGCGAAAAGAGGUGUAAAAAAAAAGUGAGAUUUUCUUCGCGGAGAUGGCACCGGCCCCACCGUGGAUGGCAUAAACGAAGAUGGAAUACGCCCAGAAAAGACAACGAAGGAAAACUGCGGAAAAGCAAUGCCCACCCGUAAUGGCGGGCAAGGGCGGGCGGGCGCGCGGGCGGCGCGUUUUCUGUGCGCUGGGUGCCCUCGCGGAGAAAACAAUUGGAGAGCGUGUUGGCAGCGCAUCCACGCCAGCUGUAGAAAAGAGAAAGCGCUCGGAUGUUGGUUUGAAGCCGCAGCUCUGGAAUUAUUUGGGAAUACAACCGCAAUAUCGACCGUUUUUAUAAAAAUCUCCAUUGGAACUGUGCGCACCGCGUGGAUCCAACAUGGCUACACUUCUGGCAAGGCGACCGAAGGAUUACAGAGUUGACCACGCCAACGUAUGGGAGUAUUUGUGCACCGUUUGGAAAAUAUCGUGAUGUUCGUGCAUAUGCGCGUGCCGGAAUGGGCCUCUUCUCCAACUAUUAGAAGGCAAUAAUUAUAGCAGCUGCACAACAUUUUGCGGAUGAAAGGAGAAGACAUUAAAUCACGGAGGAAUUAGCGAUCGAAAAUUGGAUUACAGCUAAUUAAGCGGGGGGGGGGGGGGGUGGCAAAUCUACCCACAGUGCUCAGCCUCUGCUGCUGCUGCUAAGGGCUGCUGGUAUCGGCAGGCCUGGUUGGUGAACGCGGCCUGCUCGGUGUCCGGGUAGAGGCAGCACUCCGCUCCCCAGCGUUGAUCACGGGGGACCCGACGUCCCGCUGUGUAAAAGUGAGCGAGAGAAUGGGAAAUCCAGGUGUUUGAAUGCUUUCCUUUAUAUUUUGGUCGCGCGCGCUGUGCUCCGAUGUAGAAUUACGAAAGCGGGGCCGUUUAAGUCUCCGGGAGGGAUUCUUUCCGUCUUCUCUUUUCCGCACUCUCACCCGUCCUAAUUUUUUUUGCGAUUUGCCGCAUUGCGCCUGCGAUCGUGCGCGCUGCGUAACCGCCCUCGGUGGGUGCUCUGCUGAAAUGUCAGGGCAACGUGUAAAAAAAAAAAUCAGGCAACGGCUUUAGCUGUGCGCAUGCGUGGCCACGAUAGCACUUUAAAACAUUUCACGCUCAAGGUGUUGUGUUCCUGUGUUGCACUUGUAGGUCUUUGCGAUGCCGAUUUGGCCUAAAUGCUCGUAAAUGGAGGAUUUGUUUUCCAUGCUGUGCGCACUUUUUUGGGGGUUUUUGCAAGGAGAUUUAGAUUCACGAUGUCAAUAGUUUACCUAAAAAGGGACAAUAUAAUCCAAGUGAAUGAGAAUAAAAAGACUGUGUUGUCAGUUAUUUGUCUUUCAUUUAUUUAGUGGCCCCAAGACCUGUCAUGUAGUACGUUGAAAUAGAGAUGAGAAGGUAGAAAUACAUCAAAUAUGAUACAUCAAAUAUAAUACAUUAUUAUUUGUUUUACCUUGCUGAUACGUUCAUUAUUAUUCAGGCGACGUCUGGCUGGCUGUCUAUUACUUCAUGUAUUACAAACGCCUUUAACUGGUAUAUAUGCGUGAUUUUACUUGUCCGUGUAAAAAUCAGUGCGUACAUUUAUGCUGUCACGUUUUAACUAGGACUUAAGUGAGACAGUGUGUGCCAGAGCAUUUACAGUUGUGUUCUUACAUCUGCAUAAGACAGAUUAAUUAAGUCUGGCUGCGAGUUUGCAUGGUGUGUAUAAUGUAGGUGAUGCAGGAUGCGCAGCGUUCAUGAGACAUGUAGGAUGUGAAUAUUAACAGGACACUUUUUGCUCGAGGAUUCUGUGUUUGUUCCAAGUAGACUAUUUUUUAUCCUUAGUAAGGUCUCUAGCCAUGAAUUGUCAGCUCUUUCGUUGCACUUUGCAGAAAAAUAAUUGUCAAUUGAACACAUUUUUUAAUACACAGUUUUAUUUUCCUAUCUACGCAUGACCUAACGAAUUUACUUGCAUUUGCGUGCGCAAAUAUGUUGAAUUAAGUGAAUGUGCAGAUUCUUAGUAGCAGUCGCUGUAGCAUUGCUGCCAGGUGAAAGCGAGCGACUACAACCGUCGUACGAAUUACAAACGCACCGUUGUGUCCAGACUAUAACGCGCCCAUUGCACGUCAGCGUUACAGUGCAGGCGCCAUUUAUGCGUUGUGCUUGGGCAGGAAAUACAUUAGCAGUUGUGAGCGGUUUUAAGAUCUCUCGAUCUCAUCAUACAAUCUGUGCAUGCCUCUGAGCACUCUGGCCAUUUCUCAUUAAUUCAGACACUGUAUAAACAUGCUACACAGCCAUACCGCGCCUUAUGAAUGUUUUAAACGGCACGUUGUAGAGAUUUCCAUAUUUCACCUUGUCUGAACAAAGUUGAAAUGCUUUUUUUUUUCAUGCAACCUUUCGGGGGAAGUGAUAUUGCUGUAUCUGCAAUGGAGCGUUUUGUGUGGGCAGUAAAACCAGCCCGAGAACACAAACACGACAAAAAAAGCGGACGCUGUUGUGUGCCUAACAGAAAUAAUUGUCUUUCUUUAAUUAACCCCAUCAGGUCAUCAGCCUGAUGAAUCGGUCGGAUUAAUGGUUCAUUAAUUCCGUCUGCGGCGCUCACAAUGAAGCCCCCAUCCUUCUUGACUGAAUGAACAUGCACGCUACGUGCCAACUAGCGGGACGUGAACGGUGUGGGGAAGAAGCUAAAGUGACACGGUCACCGAAAUUUGAGAGUUUUUUUUUUUAAUAAGGGAGUAAAGUAAAUAUCUCGGUUAAUGCUGAACGUACACGUAUCAUGGCACCUUUAUGAAUACUGUACGUAUGCCUAUUUGAAAUGAAGCGGCAUUGUUCGUGGCUAAAUUAAAAUACGUUGGAUUGCGCCCGUGAGAUGAAGACUGUUGCGUGCAGAUGAAUGCGACUGUGUUCCGCAAAUACUGUCUGGUGGGUACAAGUAAUGAAAAAUAACAAUGCUGUAAUAGCAGUGCCAUUACGAAUUAACACGCUCAAAAUGUCCACCGCGCACAGUGAGCAAUUUUAACAAAUGUUAUCCACACAAAAUGUUGUCAUGCGUUUUAAAGGGCAUGUGGGUAAUUCAUUUGAGUGAAAAUAAUGAGUGCUGAAAUUUAGUCGGCCAAAUCGAGGCUUUGUUGUGGCAUUAAUUGACGGUGAUAAAUUGGAAAAUUUACAUUUCUGUAUACAAGUAUUGUGGGUUAAAACUGGCUUCAUCGUUAUGUAACAGUGAUUCUCUCUGUCUUGGUGUACAAAUGUGAGGUGCAAAAAAAUCAGUGCAAGGGAGAGGGAACAAAACGAGAGGCAUGGAGCAGUACCACUGCCUGGCAGCCAUUGCGGCCACGUAAUGAGGCAUCUGAGCCUCCCCUCACGUCUGCCUGUCACCGUCGCACCAUAGCUCCCAACACGACUGUCUGGCAAUGAAUCUUACACAGCUCCAUGGCUCACAGCAGGCCGCAAGAAAAGCGUGUGUCUGUACGUGUGCGUGUCGGGAGCGGUGGCGCAGUGGUUAGUGGCGCUGUGCCGCAAACCCGAUGGCCCCCUCGAGUUCAAUUCCUGGCACACGGCCAACCAUUAAUGGUGAUUUUCUAAACUCGUUCUGGGCCUCCUCAAGGUCGACGCAGCCUUAAACGAGUACCUGCUGCAGUGUGAAAACAUCAGCAGUGAUGAGACAGAUGGCUUGGGCCUGGUGCGAACCACGCUAUCCUUUUUUGUGUGCCAUGCCACAUUUAAUAGGUGUUCCCUAAAAUAACCUGCUCUACUAGCCUCUGUAGGCUACAUUGAGGAUCCUUGUCUUUUUGUUGGAAGUGGUGAAACAGUUGCUUGUGCACGAUACUACUAUCCGGGAAACCUGGGUUUGAUUCCCUGCCACAUAACGUCAGUAGUUAAACGGUAUCCGAACCUUUUUUGGGCCUCCCCUAGGUUGACUUAGCCUUAAAUAUGCCUGUGCCAGGUAUGAAGAUAAAGACUGGCCAGAUGUUGGUGCAGGCUACAUGACCCGCUAAACGUAAUAGGUGCGCUCUUAGAAGCAUUUGUCUUCAGUCUAUCAAAUUGGAUUUAGGAUAUUUGUCUCUGUGCGUGGGAUGUAUUCGUAAUGUGCUUGGUGCACCGUAUCGCACUCCUGACUGCUCCGGUUCCAUUCUUGUCCACUCACAACAUCAGUAGCAACAGAGAUGCAAAUGUCGAGCUGAUCUCCCCUAGAUGCAGACGAAACCAGUCGCCAGUGCGCCACUUCGUAGACUUUCGCGGUUGUUCUGCAUAACUCUCCGAUGAGCUUUUGCGAUGGUUACUGCGGGCUGUAUAGCACAACGCCAAACGUUCCAGUUUAGUUCCUCGAAGAAGCUCCCAGCGCACAUGGAGCAAAA